rnacentral:rRNA from 1 species
GUAUAAUGGGUCAGCGACUUAUAUUCUGUAGCAAGGUUAACCGUAUAGGGGAGGCGCAGGGAAACCGAGUCUUAACUGGGCGGUAAGUUGCAGGGUAUAGACCCGAAACCCGGUGAUCUAGCCAUGGGCAGGUUGAAGGUUGGGUAACACUAACUGGAGGACCGAACCGACUAAUGUUGAAAAAUUAGCGGAUGACUUGUGGCUGGGGGUGAAAGGCCAAUCAAACCGGGAGAUAGCUGGUUCUCCCCGAAAGCUAUUUAGGUAGCGCCUCGUGAACUCAUCUUCGGGGGUAGAGCACUGUUUCGGCU